GACGUAGGGCGCGAGCGUUGCCCGGAUUUAUUGGGCGUAAAGAGCUCGUAGGCGGCUUGUCGCGUCGUCUGUGAAAUCCCGCGGCUCAACCGCGGGUCUGCAGUCGAUACGGGCAGGCUAGAGUUCGGUAGGGGAGACUGGAAUUCCUGGAUGUAGCGGUGAAAUGACGUAGAGAUCGGGAGGAAGGCCGGUGGCGAAGGCGCCUUGCUGGCCGAUUCUGACGCUGAGGCGCGAAGCGUGGGAGCAAACAGG
rnacentral:rRNA from 1 species